AUCACUUCUCUGCCUUUAGGCUAAGAUCAUGUAUCUUUUUAUCAUUUUAAAAUAUGAAAAAUCCUCUAUCUGAGGACUAUAUAUUAAAUGGGUUUUGGAGCUGGAGGUGGAUAGGAGCUUGCUCUAUCACUGUGUGCAUUGACCUGGUAUUGUAAUGCUUCCAGGAUCUGUGCACUCCCG
ensembl:snRNA U2 U2 spliceosomal RNA